GAUCAUGGCUCAGGAUGAACGCUGGCGGCGUGCCUAACACAUGCAAGUCGAGCGGAGAUAAGUGAAGCCUAGCGAUCUUAUCUUAGCGGCGGAUGGGUGAGUAACACGUGGGUAACCUGCCCUGCACUGGGGAAUAACAGCUGGAAACGGCUGUUAAUGCCGCAUAUGCGCACGGAGCCGCAUGGCUUUGGGCGGAAAGAUUUAUCGGCGCAGGAUGGGCCCGCGCCGGAUUAACUAGUUGGCGGGGUAACGGCCCACCAAGGUGAUGAUCCGUAGCCGACCUGAGAGGGUGACCGGCCACAUUGGGACUGAGACACGGCCCAAACUCCUGCGGGAGGCAGCAGUGGGGGAUAUUGCACAAUGGGGGAAACCCUGAUGCAGCGACGCCGCGUGAAGGAUGAAGUAUUUCGGUAUGUAAACUUCUAUCAGCGGGGAAGAAGAUGACGGUACCCGACUAAGAAGCCCCGGCUAACUACGUGCCAGCCGCCGC
rnacentral:rRNA from 1 species